rnacentral:lncRNA from 1 species
AGGUGGUUACUCCAGUGUGAAGCGGCUUCCAGGCAUCCAUUUCCUUAAGACUACACAAAGAAUCCAUUACUGGAAAACAUCCAAAUCUGCCAGAUAAUUGCCUCGAUCCAUGUUCUCUUCACCUUGGAGGCAAACGUGGGACAAUAUUUUUAAUCCCAGUGCAUCUGCCUGUUCCUAGGCUAGCAUCUGGUUACAGCUGCUUUUUUUUUUUUCAUCUGGAGGGACCUCUUUGGUGCAAACCGAGCCGAACCUGCAGUAUGGCUGCCAUGGCAAGCAAGCUCCGGGCUAGGGACUUCUUUGGUGCAAACUGAGCGGAUCCUGCAGUAUGGCUGCCAUGGCAAGCAAGCUCCGGGCUAGGGUGAACAGAGUGAGAAAGGCUUCCACUAUGAUCUCUGGUUGUGUCUACAUCUUAGAGUUCCAGUGAAGGGCGGGGGAGAGGUCCUUGCUUUGUUGGCAUUCUUGGAGCAACACUGCCAUCAAGCGGAAUUGCUUUCCUGUUCCUGCCAACACCUCAGGAUGCUGUUUCUUAGUAUGAGGAUCCUCGGAGAUUCUGGUACCAAGACUGAAAUAAAGGGGCUCCAGCUGGCUUGCCAGUCCUGGGGAACUCUGAAGAACCAUCUUGCCUUGUUGUGACAAAGUUCAACAGUCAAUUUCCUGUGGGUCCUGCAUGUCCAGUUUAUACAACAUACUGUCAAGCAGUCCAGGCAAGAGCAGCUUGCCACAAUGAAAACAAACUUCUAUGGAGUUUCUUUGAUGCCCAUCAUCCUUUAUGAAGUAAAUUGCUAUUGCCAGG